GUCCCUCCUUCGCUGCUUCCACCUGCUUCCCAGGCAGGCUCUUGUCUCCUGCCACUAUUCCUUCCAAAGUCCAGGAUAUACUCCUCCUAAUCUCCUCAAAAGUCCACUGGUCCAUACCACGCUGCUUGGUCAUAUUGUGGUGGGAUCUUCUGUAAUGAUCGUAGUAAAGAGAAGACCAAGGUGCAGUGUGAUCCCGAGAGAGAGAGAGAGAGAGAGAGAGAGCGAGAGAAGCUCUGCUACAAAGAAGUGUCAACUUAUUCACCUACACCUUCAGUCUCUAUUGUCUUACCAAUAAAGGGGUGCAAUGCACAGUAUCACCAUCAUGAACCAAACCAACAACAAAGGCCAAAAGGAUAGAAAAAGAGAGAAGCCAAAAGAAAGGAGGGGGUCAUGGUGAUACAUGACCUGCCAGAGCAACAGGUCCCUCUCUGGUGUUCAGUCACAGCUCCACACACCAGAAAACCAGAGGGUGAGAGAAAGAGAGAGAGGGAGGAAGGGAAGGAGGGUGGACAAGAACAGUUACGCAUGCUUUGUACAUAUACAUUACACAUGUACAUUACACAUGUAUAUGUAUGUACGUGGUGCACAACGCUACCACAAUCAGUGGGAUGCACUGUAAUUUGCACGAAGGAUGUUCAUCAAAGGAAAUUAAUGGGAGUAUUGCUGGAAAACUCAACAACUGUGCAAGCGUGCUACUACAACCAUUACAUCAUCUCACUGCAGCAGUCACACACACACGCACGCGCACACGCACCACACACCACACACACACACACACACAAACACAUACA
rnacentral:lncRNA from 1 species